rnacentral:rRNA from 1 species
UACGUAGGUGGCAAGCGUUGUCCGGAUUUACUGGGCGUAAAGAGCGCGCAGGCGGUCGUUCAAGUCGCGUGUGAAAGCCCCCGGCUCAACUGGGGAGGGUCACGCGAUACUGAUCGACUCGAAGGCAGGAGAGGGUAGUGGAAUUCCCGGUGUAGUGGUGAAAUGCGUAGAUAUCGGGAGGAACACCAGGGGCGAAGGCGACUACCUGGCCUGUUUCUUGACGCUGAGGCGCGAAAGCUAGGGGAGCAAACGGG